rnacentral:lncRNA from 1 species
AUGUCCCUGUACGAUCAGAGGAAACCAGUGACUCAAAAACAGAAGGCUGGUCCAAAAACUUCAAACUUCUACAGUCUCAGCUUCAGGUGAAGAAGGCAGCUCUCACUCAGGCAAAGAGCCAAAGGACGAAACAAGGUACAGUUCUUGCCCCAGUCAUUGACCUACAACGAGGUGGCUCCUCAGAUGACCGGGCAAAUUGUGGACACACCACCGCAUGUGCCAGCUGGGCUGAAGGAUCCUGUUCCCAGUGGGUUUUCUGCAGGGGAAGUUCUGAUUCCCUUAGCUGACGAAUAUGAUCCUAUGUUUCCUAACGAUUGUAAGAAAGUAGUGAAACGCCAGAGAGGAAGGACAAAGACAGCGGGAGCUGGAAAGACAGAAGAAAUAGAAGAAAGAGAAGAAAGGCAUAAAUACAGACAUGAUGCACGUGAGUUUUCAAGGAGUUCAGAUCCGGAUUCUGAUGAAGAUGAAGAUUAGGAGCGAGAGAAGAGGAAAACAAGUAUGGGCGGAGCUGCCAUUGCCUCACCCACUUCUCUGGCAGUAAAAGACAGUUACCCCGAGAUUUUCCUUAUGAAGAGGACUCAAGACCUCGAUCACAGUCUUCCAAAACUGCCAUUCCUCCCCCAGUGUACGAGGAACAAGACAGACCGAGAUCUCCAACCCGGCCCAGCGCAACUCCUUCCUCGCUAACUUGGGGGGCACGGUGGCGCACAAGAUCAUACAGAAGUACGGCUUCCGGGAGGGCCAGGGUCUGGGGAAGCAUGAGCAGGGGCUGAGCACCGCCUUUUCGGUGGAGAAGACCAGCAAGCUUGGUGGCAAGAUCAUCGUGGGUGACGCCACGGAGAAAGAUGCAUCCAAGAAGUCAGAUUCAAAUCCACUGACUGAAAUACUUAAGUGUCUUAAUAAAGUGGUCCUACUAAGGAACAUGGUUGGUGCGGGAAAGGUGGAUGAAGACUUGGAAGUUAAAACCAAGGAAGAACGUGAAAAAUAUCUCAAAGUUGGGGAAAGUGUGUUGUUUGAAAUUCUGGUGCCCCUGAUGAUGAAGCAGUACGGAUAUUUUUAGAAUUUGAGAGAGUUAAAUCAGCAAUUCAAGCGGUUAUUGACUCGAAUGGGAGGUAUUUUGGUGGACAGGUGGCAAAUGCAUGUUUCUACAAUUUGGAAAAAUUCAGUAUCUUGGAUUUGGCAGAACAAGUUU